rnacentral:rRNA from 1 species
GAUGAACGCUGGCGGCGUGCCUAAUACAUGCAAGUCGAGCGAACAGACGAGGAGCUUGCUCCUCUGACGUUAGCGGCGGACGGGUGAGUAACACGUGGAUAACCUACCUAUAAGACUGGGAUAACUUCGGGAAACCGGAGCUAAUACCGGAUAAUAUAUUGAACCGCAUGGUUCAAUAGUGAAAGACGGUUUUGCUGUCACUUAUAGAUGGAUCCGCGCCGCAUUAGCUAGUUGGUAAGGUAACGGCUUACCAAGGCAACGAUGCGUAGCCGACCUGAGAGGGUGAUCGGCCACACUGGAACUGAGACACGGUCCAGACUCCUACGGGAGGCAGCAGUAGGGAAUCUUCCGCAAUGGGCGAAAGCCUGACGGAGCAACGCCGCGUGAGUGAUGAAAGUCUUCGGAUCGUAAAACUCUGUUAUUAGGGAAGAACAAAUGUGUAAGUAACUAUGCACGUCUUGACGGUACCUAAUCAGAAAGCCACGGCUAACUACG